rnacentral:rRNA from 1 species
UAGGGAAUCUUCCGCAAUGGACGAAAGUCUGACGGAGCAACGCCGCGUGAGUGAAGAAGGAUUUCGGUUCGUAAAACUCUGUUGUUAGGGAAGAAAAAAUGUAUAGUAACUAUAUACAAAAGAGACGGUACCUAACCAGAAAGCCACGGCUAACUACGUGCCAGCAGCCGCGGUAAUACGUAGGUGGCAAGCGUUGUCCGGAAUUAUUGGGCGUAAAGCGCGCGCAGGUGGUUUAGAAAGUCUGAUGUGAAAGCCCACGGCUCAACCGUGGAGGGUCAUUGGAAACUAAUAAACUUGAGUGCAGGAGAGAAAAGUGGAAUUCCGAGUGUAGCGGUGAAAUGCGUAGAGAUUAGGAGGAACACCGGUGGCGAAAGCGGCUUUUUGGCCUGCAACUGACACUGAGGCGCGAAAGCGUGGGGAGCAAACAGG